UUCCGGUUGAUCCUGCCGGAGGUCAUUGCUAUCGGAGUCCGAUUUAGCCAUGCUAGUCGUGCGAGUUCACACUCGCGGCACCGAGCUCAGUAACACGUGGCCAAACUACCCUACAGAGACGGAUACCCUCGGGAAACUGAGGCUAACCUGUCAUACCGAUCUCAGGCUUGAAUCGCAGAGAUCACUAAAUGCCCCGGCGCUGUAGGAUGUGGCUGCGGUUGAUUAGGUUGACGGUGGGGUAACGGCCCACCGUGCCCAUAAUCAGUACAGGUUGUGAGAGCAAGAACCUGGAGACGGAAUUUGAGACAAGAUUCCGGGCCCUACGGGGCGCAGCAGGCGCGAAACCUUUACACUGCACGCACGUGCGAUAAGGGGACUCCGAGUGCGAGGGCAUAUCGUCCUCGCUUUCGUGUACCGUAGGGUGGUACACCAACAAGGGCUGGGCAAGACCGGUGCCAGCCGCCGCGGU
rnacentral:rRNA from 1 species